rnacentral:rRNA from 1 species
GAGGGAAAGGUGAAAAGAACCCCGGGAGGGGAGUGAAAGAGAACCUGAAACCCUGCACUUACAAGCUGUAGGAGCACAUUAUUUGUGUGACUGCGUACUUUUUGUAGAACGGGCCAACGAGUUACGUUGUGUAGCAAGGUUAAGCACUUAAGGUGUGGAGCCGUAGCGAAAGCGAGUCUUAAAUGGGCGUCCAGUUACCCGACGUAGACCCGAAACCAGGCGACCUAUCCAUGAGCAGGUUGAAGCGAAAGUAAAAUUUCGUGGAGGACCGAACCCACGUACGUUGAAAAGUGCGGGGAUGACUUGUGGAUAGCGGUGAAAUUCCAAUCGAGCCUGGAGAUAGCUGGUUCUCCCCGAAAUAGCUUUAGGGCUAGCCUCAAGCUUAGAGAAACGGAGGUAGAGCACUGAAUGUCCUAGGGGGUAUUGCACUUACCGAAGACUAUCAAACUCCGAAUACCGUAUACUUAUGCUUGGGAGUCAGACUAUGGGUGAUAAGAUUCAUAGUCAAAAGGGCAACAGCCCAGAUCGUCAGCUAAGGUCCCUAAAUGUACGUUAAGUGGUAAAGGAUGUGGGAUUGCACAGACAACCAGGAUGUUGGCUUAGAAGCAGCCACUCAUUUAAAGAGUGCGUAAUAGCUCACUGGUCGAGUGAUCCUGCGCCGAAAAUUUCCGGGGCUAAAACGUACUACCGAAGCUACGGCAUCAUUUAUGAUGGGUAGGAGAGCUUCCCAUACGGGUUGAAGCAUGACCGAAAGGACAUGUGGACUGUAUGGGAGUGAGAAUGUUGGCAUGAGUAGCGAGAUGUGGGUGAGAAUCCCACAGGCCGUAAACCCAAGGUUUCCAGGGGAAGGUUCGUCCGCCCUGGGUUAGUCAGGACCUAAGCCGAGGCCGAAAGGCGUAGGUGAUGGACAACAGGUUGAUAUUCCUGUACCACCAAUAACCGUUUGAGAAAUGGGAUGACACAGUAGGAUAAGCUAACCGCACUGUUGGUUAUGUGCGGGCAAGUAUUGAGGCAGUUCCGAUAGGCAAAUCCGUCGGAAUAAUGCUGGGGUACGAUGCGGAGCGAAAUUUAGUAGCGAAGUAGCUGAUUUCACACUGUCGAGAAAAGUCUCUAUCGAGGUUAAAGGUGCCUGUACCGCAAACCGACACAGGUGGGUGAGGAGAGUAUCCUAAGGCCAGCGAGAGAACUGUUGUUAAGGAACUCGGCAAAAUGACCCCGUAACUUAGGGAGAAGGGGUGCCUUCGAAAGAAGGCCGCAGAGAAUAGGCCCAAGCGACUGUUUACCAAAAACAUAGGUUUCUGCUAAGUCGCAAGACGAUGUAUAGGAGCUGACGCCUGCCCGGUGCUGGAAGGUUAAGGGGAUCUGUUAGAGCAAUCGAAGCAGUGAACUUAAGCCCCAGUAAACGGCGGCCGUAACUAUAACGGUCCUAAGGUAGCGAAAUUCCUUGUCGGGUAAGUUCCGACCCGCACGAAAGGCGUAACGAUUUGGGCACUGUCUCAACAACAGACUCGGUGAAAUUGUAAUACCGGUGAAGAUGCCGGUUACCUGCGACAGGACGGAAAGACCCCAUGGAGCUUUACUGUAGCUUGACAUUGAGUCUCGGUGCUACAUGUACAGGAUAGGUGGGAGACUAUGAAGCAUGGACGUCAGUCUGUGUGGAGUCAUCCUUGGGAUACCACCCUUGUAGUACUGGGAUUCUAACCAGAGGCCAUGAAUCUGGUCUUGGGACACUGUCAGGUGGACAGUUUGACUGGGGCGGUCGCCUCCCAAAAAGUAACGGAGGCGCUCAAAGGUUCUCUCAGUACGGUCGGAAAUCGUACGAAGAGUGUAAAGGCAAAAGAGAGCUUGAUUGCAAGACAUACAGGUCGAGCAAGGACGAAAGUCGGACUUAGUGAUCCGGUGGUACCGCAUGGAAGGGCCAUCGCUCAACGGAUAAAAGCUACCCUGGGGAUAACAGGCUGAUCUCCCCCAA